rnacentral:rRNA from 1 species
CUACGGGGCGCUGCAGUGAGGAAUAUUGCACAAUGGGGGAAACCCUGAUGCAGCAACGCCGCGUGGAGGAUGACGCAUUUCGGUGUGUAAACUCCUUUUAUCAGAGAAGAAAAUGACGGUAUCUGAUGAAUAAGCUCCGGCUAACUCCGUGCCAGCAGCCGCGGUAAUACGGAGGGAGCAAGCGUUAUUCGGAAUCACUGGGCGUAAAGGACGCGUAGGCGGGUUUUUAAGUCAGGUGUGAAAUCCUAUGGCUCAACCAUAGAACUGCACUUGAAACUGGGGACCUAGAGUAUGGAAGGGGCAGGAGGAAUUAGUGGUGUAGGGGUAAAAUCCGUAGAUAUCACUAGGAAUACCGAAAGCGAAGUCGACCUGCUGGGACAUUACUGACGCGGAGGCGUGAACGCGUGGGGAGCAAACAGGAUUAGAUACCCCGGUAGUC